rnacentral:piRNA from 1 species
UAUAAAUUGGCCUGGUUCCCACA